rnacentral:rRNA from 1 species
UACGUAGGGUGCGAGCGUUAAUCGGAAUUACUGGGCGUAAAGCGUGCGCAGGCGGUUUUGCAAGCCGGAUGUGAAAUCCCCGGGCUCAACCUGGGAAUGGCAUUCGGGACUGCAAGGCUGGAGUGCGGCAGAGGAGACUGGAAUUCCUGGUGUAGCAGUGAAAUGCGUAGAUAUCAGGAGGAAUACCGGUGGCGAAGGCGGUUCUCUGGGCCUGUACUGACGCUGAGGAGCGAAAGCGUGGGGAGCGAACAGG